rnacentral:lncRNA from 1 species
AAAAGACCAUGUGAGGAGAUAGCAAGAAUACCCUAUCUGCAAGCCAUGGAGAGGUCUCAGCAGAAACCAAAACUGCCAACAACUUAAUCUUGGACUUCUAUCCUCUAUAAAUUGUCCAAAAGACAGAAGAAGCAUCUGAUGGGCUGAGCCUUGGUCAAACCCAAUUUCUAUCUGCCAGCUAAAUUGAGUCAUAUCCUUGAAUAGAGAGGAGAAAAAUAACCAAAUGCAAGAAUUUACCCUGUUGUGUGAAUGCAACCCAAAUGUGGUUCAAGAUAUUCUCAACAAUUGCCUUGUACUGAGACACUCAGCACUUUGUUGGUUCUCUAGAAUACAUCCAAGUUUAUAAUAUAGUGAGA